rnacentral:rRNA from 1 species
UACGUAGGGUGCUAGCGUUGUCCGGAUUUAUUGGGCGUAAAGAGCGUGUAGGCGGCCAGAUAGGUCUGCUGUGAAAACUCGAGGCUCAACCUCGAGCUGUCGGCGGAAACCAUUUGGCUAGAGUCCGGAAGAGGAAAGUGGAAUUCCUGGUGUAGCGGUGAAAUGCGCAGAUAUCAGGAAGAACACCCGUGGCGAAGGCGGCUUUCUGGGACGGUACUGACGCUGAGACGCGAAAGCGUGGGGAGCGAACAGG